UACGUAGGGUGCAAGCGUUGUCCGGAAUCAUUGGGCGUAAAGCGCGCGUAGGUGGCCAUUUAAGUCCGCUGUGAAAGUCAAAGGCUCAACCUUUGAAAGCCGGUGGAUACUGGAUGGCUAGAGUACGGAAGAGGCGAGUGGAAUUCCUGGUGUAGCGGUGAAAUGCGUAGAUAUCUGGAGGAACACCGGUGGCGAAGGCGGCAUCCUGGACCAAUUCUGGACGCUGAGGAGCGAAAGCCAGGGGAGCAAACGGG
rnacentral:rRNA from 1 species